rnacentral:rRNA from 1 species
UAAGGAAUAUUGGUCAAUGGACGAAAGUCUGAACCAGCCAUGCCGCGUGGAGGAUGAAGGUCCUCUGGAUUGUAAACUUCUCUUAUAGGGGACGAAAAAAGGAAAUUCUUUUCCGUCUGACGGUACCCUAUGAGUAAGCACCGGCUAACUCCGUGCCAGCAGCCGCGGUAAUACGUAGGGAGCAAGCGUUGUUCGGAUUUACUGGGCGUAAAGGGCGCGUAGGCGGCCUGUCAAGUCAACUGUGAAAUCUCCGGGCUUAACUCGGAACGGUCAGUUGAUACUGUCAGGCUAGAGUGCAGAAGGGGCAAUCGGAAUUCUUGGUGUAGCGGUGAAAUGCGUAGAUAUCAAGAGGAACACCUGAGGUGAAGACGGGUUGCUGGGCUGACACUGACGCUGAGGCGCGAAAGCCAGGGGAGCAAA